UGAUAAUUAGUUUAAGCAAAACAAAUGAUUUCGACUCAUUAGAUUAUAGGCGCUCUAUAAUUAUCAA
rnacentral:tRNA from 1 species